UACGUAGGGGGCAAGCGUUGUCCGGACUUACUGGGCGUAAAGCGCGUGCAGGCGGAUGAGUAUGUGCCGUGUGAAAGCUCUCGGCUUGCCCGGGAGAGGUCGCGGUAGACAGCCCAUCUGGAGGCUCGGAGAGGUCAGUGGAAUUCCCGGUGUAGUGGUGAAAUGCGUAGAUAUCCGGAGGAACACCAGCGGCGAAGGCGGCAUCCUGGACUGGUACUGACGCUCAGGAGCGAAAGCGUGGGGAGCGAUCCGG
rnacentral:rRNA from 1 species